AGAACGAACGCUGGCGGCAUGCCUAAUACAUGCAAGUCGAACGAACACUUCGGUGUUAGUGGCGCACGGGUGCGUAACGCGUGGGAAUCUGCCCUUGGGUUCGGAAUAACAGUUGGAAACGACUGCUAAUACCGGAUGAUAUCGAAAGAUCAAAGAUUUAUCGCCCAGGGAUGAGCCCGCGUAGGAUUAGCUAGUUGGUGAGGUAAAGGCUCACCAAGGCGACGAUCCUUAGCUGGUCUGAGAGGAUGAUCAGCCACACUGGGACUGAGACACGGCCCAGACUCCUACGGGAGGCAGCAGCAGGGAAUAUUGGACAAUGGGCGCAAGCCUGAUCCAGCAAUGCCGCGUGAGUGAUGAAGGCCUUAGGGUUGUAAAGCUCUUUACCCGAGAUGAUAAUGACAGUAUCGGAAGAAUAACGCCCGGACUAACGUCCCGUGCCAGCACGCCGAC
rnacentral:rRNA from 1 species